GCCGCCAUAGCUCAGUUGGUAGUAGCGCAUGACUGUUAAUCAUGAUGUCGUAGGUUCGAGUCCUACUGGCGGAG
rnacentral:tRNA from 2 species